rnacentral:rRNA from 1 species
UACGGAGGGAGCUAGCGUUAUUCGGAAUUAUUGGGCGUAAAGGGUGCGUAGGCGGUUUGGUAAGUCUGAUGUGAAAUCUAUGGGCUCAACUCAUAGUCUGCAUCGGAAACUGCCGGGCUUGAGUGUGGGAGAGGUGAGUGGAAUUCCUGGUGUAGCGGUGAAAUGCGUAGAUAUCAGGAGGAACACCUGUGGCGAAAGCGGCUCACUGGACCAUAACUGACGCUGAUGCACGAAAGCUAGGGGAGCAAACAGG